rnacentral:rRNA from 1 species
UACAGAGGGUGCAAGCGUUAAUCGGAAUUACUGGGCGUAAAGCGCAUGUAGGUGGUUGCAUAAGUUUGAUGUGAAAGCCCCGGGCUUAACCUGGGAAUGGCGUUGAAGACUGUGUGACUAGAGUCGGACAGAGGGUCGUGGAAUUUCCGGUGUAGCGGUGAAAUGCGCAGAUAUCAGGAGGAACACCGAUGGCGAAGGCAGGUCUCUGGGCCGAUACUGACGCUGAGGAGCGAAAGCGUGGGGAGCGAACAGG